UGUGUACAAGGCCNGAGAACGUAUUCACCGCACCUUGCUGAUAUGCGGUUACUAGCAACUCCAACUUCAUGCAGGCGGGUUUCAGCCUGCAAUCCGAACUGAGGACAGCUUUGGGGAUUAGCUCCAGUUCACACUGUUGCAACCUAUUGUUCUGUCCAUUGUAGCGUGUGUGUAGCCCAAGAUAUAAAGGCCAUGCUGACUUGACGUCAUCCCCACCUUCCUCCCCGUUUCGCGGGGCAGUCUCGCUAGAAAAUUUAACUAGCAACAAGGGUUGCGCUCGUUGCAGGACUUAACCAAACACCUCACGGCACGAGCUGACGACAGCCAUGCAGCACCUGUGCAAACUCCUGACUUAACAGGUCGUUUCCCUUUCGGUUCACUACUUCAUGCAUGUCAAAUCUUGGUAGUCUCGUGUAGCAUCGAAUAAACCACACGCUCCGCUGCUUGUGCG
rnacentral:rRNA from 1 species